rnacentral:sRNA from 1 species
GCCUGCUUCCAUAAAUACCAACCCUUAUCUGAAUUCGGUCACCCCACCAAAUCAGAUAGGAAUUCAGUAUCAGGACUUAACACUGACGCUUCUCCAUCUCCACAGCUCUUGCAUCGCCCAUUCAGAUAUACGCAAGAAUAACGUCCUCUUUGGUCCGAAAGGCCACGGUUCACUUGAUGGCUCGGGCGCUAUACACCCAAUCAUUUUAUCCCAGUUCAUCUUGGUGGACCAUCGAAGACUAUCUGAGACGCAACUGAUAGUAUAGUUCCAAUAAACUACGAGUUGGGGGCUGGAUUGAAGAACAAAAAUAUCCAUCUACAAUCACCAUGACCUCAUUUGCACUGGCCCAGGUCAGUCUUGACUCUGGAUGGAAACAUUUGCCGUGGACCAUAUAUAUAAUUCUACCGCAGACCUGGUGAAACAUGUCAAGAAUCUACGUGAUAGCCAGCUCAAUCACUGGCCAGUUAAAGACCCUGUCCCAAUGGCAGGAUUAGCCAGUGCGAAUUGCAUGCGGAGG